rnacentral:rRNA from 1 species
UACGUAGGGCGCAAGCGUUAUCCGGAAUUAUUGGGCGUAAAGAGCUCGUAGGCGGUUUGUCGCGUCGGAUGUGAAAACCCAGGGCUCAACCCUGGGCCUGCAUUCGAUACGGGCAGACUAGAGUUCGGUAGGGGAGACUGGAAUUCCUGGUGUAGCGGUGAAAUGCGCAGAUAUCAGGAAGAACACCCGUGGCGAAGGCGGCUCUCUGGGACGGUACUGACGCUGAGACGCGAAAGCGUGGGGAGCGAACAGGAUUAAGAAACCC